UACGUAGGGUGCGAGCGUUGUCCGGAAUUAUUGGGCGUAAAGAGCUCGUAGGCGGUGUGUCACGUCGUUCGUGAAAACCUGCAGCUUAACUGUGGGCGUGCGGUCGAUACGGGCAUCACUGGAGUUCGGCAGGGGAGACUGGAAUUCCUGGUGUAGCGGUGAAAUGCGCAGAUAUCAGGAGGAACACCGAUGGCGAAGGCGGCAUCCUGGACCAAUACUGACACUGAGGAGCGAAAGCCAGGGGAGCAAACGGG
rnacentral:rRNA from 1 species